rnacentral:ncRNA from 18 species
AUUAUUGAAGGGCAGAACGGGCAGCUGCCACGCCUUAGAAAUAAGGUCUUUCAAGAGAUGUAGGGUUGCCAACCUACUCAGUAAU